rnacentral:rRNA from 1 species
GCAAGUCGAACGGAAACAUGUCUAGCUUGCUAGAUGAUGUCGAGUGGCGGACGGGUGAGUAAUACUUAGGAACAUGCCUUUGUGUGGGGGAUAACUAUUGGAAACGAUAGCUAAUACCGCAUAACGUCUACGGACCAAAGGGGGCUUUCGGGCUCUCGCGCAAAGAGUGGCCUAAGCGAGAUUAGCUAGUUGGUGUGGUAAAGGCGCACCAAGGCGACGAUCUCUAGCUGUUCUGAGAGGAAGAUC